UACCAAAAAGUUAAGUUAUAUAUCGAUGGUAAAAAGACAGUUAGAUAUAUUUAGAUUUAUUAAGGUCGAUUUAAUGCUUUGUAUAGAAGUAAAAUUUGAGUAUGAUUGUAUAAUUUAUUAGCGGCUUGUGAAUUGAAUCUGUGAAAUCCUUGAGGGAAACUGGGAUUAGGUACCCCAUUAUUUCUGGACGUAAAGCUAAUUAUAUUUACCAGAGUACUAUGAAUAUUAAUAAUUUAAAACUCAAAGGACUUGGCGGUGUUUUAGACCACUUAGGGGAACCUGUCUCAUAAUCGAUAAUCCACGAUAUACCUGACCUUUUUUUGUUUUCAGCUUGUAUACCGUUGUCGUCAGGUAACUUUUUAGAAAUUAAGAGUUAGCAACAGAAAGUUGUAGGUAAUUCAGUACGUCAAAUCAAGGUGCAGCUAAUAAGAAGGGGAGGAUGGGUUACAGUUAUAUGAAUUAUAACGGAUAGAUGUGUGAAAUCACAUAAAUUAUAAGGUGGACUUAAAAGUAAAUUAGAAUAUAUAAAUAAUUUGAAUGAGGCUCUGAAGCGUGU
rnacentral:rRNA from 1 species